CCUACGGGAGGCAGCAGUGAGGAAUAUUGGUCAAUGGGCGAGAGCCUGAACCAGCCAAGUCGCGUGAAGGAUGACGGCCCUACGGGUUGUAAACUUCUUUUGUCAGGGAGCAAUUGGGUCCACGCGUGGGCUUAGCGAGAGUCCCUGAAGAAAAAGCAUCGGCUAACUCCGUGCCAGCAGCCGCGGUAAUCCGGAGGAUGCGAGCGUUAUCCGGAUUUAUUGGGUUUAACGGGGGCGUAGGCGGAAUCUCAAGCCAGCGGGAAAAAUUCGGGGCUCAACCCCGUCGUGCCGUUGAAACUGAUGUUCUUGAGUGGGCGAGAAGUAUGCGGAAUGCGUGGUGUAGCGGUGAAAUGCAUAGAUAUCACGCAGAACUCCGAUUGCGAAGGCAGCAUACCGGCGCCCAACUGACGCUGAAGCACGAAAGCGUGGGUAUCGAACAGGAUUAGAUACCCUUGUAGUC
rnacentral:rRNA from 1 species